rnacentral:rRNA from 1 species
UACGUAGGGUGCAGGCGUUAAUCGGAAUUACUGGGCGUAAAGCGUGCGCAGGCGGUUUGCUAAGACAGGUGUGAAAUCCCCGGGCUUAACCUGGGAACUGCGCUUGUAACUGGCAAGCUAGAGUGUGGCAGAGGGGGGUGGAAUUCCAGGUGUAGCAGUGAAAUGCGUAGAGAUGCGGAGGAACACCGAUGGCGAAGGCAGCCCCCUGGGCCAACACUGACGCUCAGGCACGAAAGCGUGGGGAGCAAACAGG